GACGUCGAAUAUCGACGUGAUAAACACGAUCAACUUUGGUGUUUAUGACUAAACACGAUCAACUUUGGUGUUUAUGACGUCGAUAUUCGACGUCAUAAACACGAUCAACUUUGGUGUUUAUGACGUCGAUAUUCGACGUUAUAAACACGAUCAAAUAUCGACGUCAUAAACACGAUCAACUUUGGUGUUUAUGACUAAACACGAUCAACUUUGGUGUUUAUGACGUCGAUAUUCGACGUC